UCGCGUCCUUUACAGGCGAGGGGCGGGACAACGCCACUCUGUGACACCGGGCACCGCCCACGGGGCUUUAAAGGGGCAGAGCCGUUGCUUUUCACCCCCCCUGGCCUCCAUCUCAGCGCAUUUUGCUCGAUUCCGCCCGGUUCCCGGUGCACGCCGCGGGCGUGGUCACGUGUGCGUCCGUGGGUGCGCGUGGCAUCCCGUACUGGCGAAGAGACCCGCGCAGCUGCCGCUGCUCGGCGCGGAGCCGCGGGGGUGCCCGGUGCAGCGGGCGGGGGGGUCGUGGCUGUUUGGUGUUUGUGCGUUUGAAGCCACCCCCGGGCCGUGCCGUGUCACUGCGGGCCCUGGCGCCGCAACGUGGCGCGUUUCCAGCGGGGGAGCGGGUUCGGACGGUGGAUUCCUGUUGCCGGUGGCUCCCGCGAGGAAGGUUAUGGAGAUGUGUGAACUUGCAACAGCCUGCACCUGAAACUGGAGCCUUUAUCCACCAAAGCAAACUCGUAACCUACCCCAGAAGAAGCUGCUGAUUCACGGGGCGAGGGUGGACGCUCUUCCAUGGCUGAGACACAACUGGGUGCCCAGCCCGGGCCUGCAUGGCCAUUGCUGCUGUUGGGCUCUGACAGACGCCUCCACUGAGGCUGCCUCUGCCCCAGUGCCUGUCCUGCCCACCCUGUGCCCCCCGUACCUGACCCACAGGUGAUGCUGUGCCCAAUAGCAAGAGGCAAAGCCACCUGUGCUGCUGCAAAGAGUGCAGAGACUGUCACCCUGGUCAAGGGCCCAGCCACAGAAGAAUAAGCUGCAUUUAUUUGCUUGAAGAGCAUUUAGGGAUGUACCAUGUCUUAAAAUACAAGAAUUCUGAAUUAAACAUGAACUAUGGCUGUCCCGGUGCAGCCAAGGAGCCUGGGGACUGGCAGCAGUGGCAGGGCGGCUGCCAGCUGUUAUCUCGGGCGACAGGAGGAAGCAUGUAGUGUUCACUGUGACUCAUUUAUGGUGGUGUUUGCAGUGCAAAGCACUGUUAGUGGCAAGCUGGUGGGCUCACCUGAGCUUACAGCAACCUUUUCUGACCAGUAGGGCAAGGUCCAUUGGAAGAGAGUCUGUAAUAUUCAGCUGCCAAGUGUCUCAAAAAGAAAAAUGUAGAUUUCCAGCUAAAUAAUAAUAAAAGUGGGUUGAUUGAUAAAGCUAUCUGAACU
rnacentral:lncRNA from 1 species